rnacentral:rRNA from 1 species
AGUGGCGGACGGGUGAUUAACGCAUGAGGAACCUGCCUUUCAGAGGGGGACAACAGUUGGAAACGACUGCUAAUACCGCAUGACACAUAGAGAUCGCAUGGUUUUUAUGUCAAAGAUUUAUCGCUGAAAGAUGGCCUCACGUCUGAUUACCUAGUUGGUGAGGUAACGGCCCACCAAGGCGACCAUCGGUAGCCGAACUGAUAGGUUGAUCGGCCGCAUUGGGACUGAGACACGGCCCAGACUCCUACCGGAGGCAGCAGUGAGGGAUAUUGGGCAAUGGGGGAAACCCUGACCCAUCAACGCCGCGUGAGGGAAGAAGGUCUUCGGAUUGUAAACCUAAGUAGUCAGGGACGAAGAAAUGACGGUACCUGAAGAGUAAGCUCCGGCUAACUACGUGCCAGCAGCCGCGGUAAUACGUAGGGAGCGAGCGUUGUCCGGAUUUACUGGGUGUAAAGGGUGCGUAGGCGGGCUGUCAAGUCAGAUGUGAAAUACCGGGGCUCAACUCCGGGGCUGCAUUUGAAACUGAUGGUCUUGAGUGUAAGUAGAGGCAGGCGGAAUUCCUAGUGUAGCGGUGAAAUGCGUAGAUAUUCGGAGGAACACCAGUGGCGAAGGCGGCUUGCUGGGCUCUAACUGACGCUGAGGCUCGAAAGUGUGGGGAGCAAACAGGAUUAGAUACCCUGGUAGUCCACACUGUAAACGAUGAUUGCUAGGUGUGGGGGGUCUGACCCCCUCCGUGCCGGAGUUAACGCAAUAAGCAAUCCACGUGGGGAGUACGGCCGCAAGGUUGAAACUCAAAGGAAUUGACGGGGACCCGCACAAGCAGUGGAUUAUGUGGUUUAAUUGGAAGCAAUGCGAAGAACCUUACCAGGUCUUGACAUCCGACUAACGAGAUAGAGAUAUGUCAGGUGCCCUUCGGGGAAAGUCGAGACAGGUGGUGCAUGGUUGUCGUCAGCUCGUGUGGUGUAGAUGUUGGGUUAUAGUCCCGCAUCGAGCGCAACCCUUUCCAUUAGUUGCUACGCAAGAGCACUCUAAUGGGCCGUCUCCCGACAAGGUGGAGGAAGGUGGG